GCUCCCGUAGCUCAGUUGGAUAGAGCAGCGGUCUUCUAAACCGCGGGUCGCUGGUUCGAAUCCAGCCGGGAGCGCCA
rnacentral:tRNA from 2 species